rnacentral:rRNA from 1 species
CUACGGGAGGCUCCAGUGAGGAAUAUUGCACAAUGGGGGGAACCCUGAUGCAGCAACGCCGCGUGGAGGAUGACGCAUUUCGGUGUGUAAACUCCUUUUAUAUGUCAAGAAAAUGACGGUAGCAUAUGAAUAAGCACCGGCUACACUCCGUGCCAGCAGCCGCGGUAAUACGGAGGGUGCAAGCGUUACUCGGAAUCACUGGGCGUAAAGGACGCGUAGGCGGGUUGGAAAGUCAGGUGUGAAAUCCUACAGCUUAACUGUAGAACUGCACUUGAAACUUCUAAUCUAGAGUAUGGGAGGGGGAGAUGGAAUUAGUGGUGUAGGGGUAACAUCCGUAGAUAUCACUAGGAAUACCUAAAGCGAAGGCGAUCUCCUGGAACAUUACUGACGCUAAGGCGUGAAAGCGUGGGGAGCAAACAGGAUUAGAUACCCUUGUAGUC